UACGAAGGGGGCUAGCGUUGUUCGGAAUCACUGGGCGUAAAGCGCACGUAGGCGGAUCUUUAAGUUAGAGGUGAAAGCCCAGGGCUUAACCCUGGAAUUGCCUUUAAGACUGCAUCGCUAGAAUCGUGGAGAGGUGAGUGGAAUUCCGAGUGUAGAGGUGAAAUUCGUAGAUAUUCGGAAGAACACCAGUGGCGAAGGCGACUCACUGGACACGUAUUGACGCUGAGGUGCGAAAGCGUGGGGAGCAAACAGG
rnacentral:rRNA from 1 species